rnacentral:tRNA from 1 species
GGGGACCUAGUAAAUAUCAUUACAUGACCUUGUCAUGGUCAAAUAACAGCACCAUGUGGCCCCCA